GGGGCCGUAGUCUAGUCUGGACUUCCAGAAGACAAUCUUCUGGAAGAGGCAAAUAAGGCACCAGCCUUCGGAGUUGGGCAUCCCCGGUUCAAAUCCGGGCGGUCCCGCCA
rnacentral:tRNA from 1 species